rnacentral:lncRNA from 1 species
GCUAAUUAUUUAAUACGUAAUCAAUGUUUUAAAUACAAUGUUUGUUUCACGCUGUGCAAAAUCGCGCACGUAAAAGUAACAAUCUCCGAUUAUAUAGAUCGCGACGAGACAUAUGAUAUCUUGAUUCAAGUUAAUUGUAGCUUAUUGUAUCCGUUUAACUCUUCUCGAGUGAAUCGACUGAGUUACCGUGAUGUCCUACUCUGCGAGAGAUAUAUACUUAGACCCGACGUGUUUCCAUUGGCUCGAAAGCUCAAGAAACCCCGCCGCUUUCGCCGGCUGCGAACCAAUGGACCACCAUGUUUCUCUUCAUCUUCUUGUUAUGAGUAACUCUAAAGAAGAAUCCUUCGUUAAUGUACUAACUUCUUUGAUUAGAGUCUACUUGAUGGAAACAUAUCGAUGAUUCGUCAGAUUUGAAGAUUGGCACAUGUACACGCACAGUUGCUUGGAAAAAGCUACAACCAAUAUCUUUUUUCUAGAAUAAUUUUUAUAUUUAUUAUAUAUGUUAUUAAUUUAUUCUUGCUGGGUAGCAAAUAUUUUUAUUUAAUCUUGUUCAGAGAGAAAAACGACACAAUUAAGAUUCAGCAAAUCGAUUCAAAAUAUCCUUGUAGAAAUAACAUUAAGUAUGCAAGAUGUUAACCAGGUGGUUAUCGAAGAAGACCCUGAUGGAAGUCGGCGGUGUCAUUCAUACAUUAAGAAAACAUACUCGAAACUAAUAUUAACUGUGUGUUGGCAACAUCCGAGAGGAUCGUAUUAACGAGCUCUUAGAGCAAGAUCACAGAAAGAAUGCCAUAUGGUUGCAGCUGCUGGUGUACAACGUUGUUAGAACGAGAUUGUCUGCCUUCUAUUUUUGCAAUGAACAACAUGAUGUGUGAAUAAAAGAAAACGAAAGAGAUUGCACUAUUAUUUCGGGCGUGUGUAUGACAGCUAAUUUUGCCGGAUGAUGUUAAAUAUGUUAGUGUAACUAAAUUUUAUUCUUCCUCUACAGAAAUGUACUUGACUUUAUCACUGAAAGAAAAUGUAAAUUAUUUUCCAUGAAAUUUCUAACUUUAGCUCGCUAAAAAUUUAACAUAUGACUUACAGAAACCUAAGUUGCUAUUUUUUUUAAAUUAAUUUUUUAAUUUUUCUAUCAAUUAUAUUCUCCUGAUUAUACAAUUCUUUAUCGUUUGAUUGUAAAUUAAGCGAUAUAUAAGAAACCUUGUGUAUAACAUGCUUUUUUCACAUCAUUUUUUUCAUCGCCCUAAAAUCGUACAGUUAGACAGAUUUAAAUUUACAUAUGCCAGUAAGCACGCGUGACACGUGACCGAGGAAUUCAUCCUAAUGAGCGUGGAACGAAGGGGUGUCAUCUCGUGAACACUUUUUCCUUUUUCCCUCGCUCCUGGACAGUUCAGCCUGAGGGUGUUGUCAAGACGGCAAAUAUGUUGACAGGUCAUUCAACAUCUUUCUCGCCUUAGUUUCGCUUUGGUAGGAACCACGAAGAAGCUCUGAGACGCGAUGUUACACCUCCAAAUAUCCAAAUCGCGACACGUGUCUAAAACGAUUUCUUUGAAAAGACAUUGACCACGAAACAAUCGAUUGAAAUUAAAAUAUUAAAGCUUGCAAGGAUGCAACACGCUAUGGCUUCGUAUCAAAUUUUCGCUAAGGAAACGUCGCCUGCAAUGUCACUACAAGAAAUGACACGUCAUACUGAAUCAAAACUAAAAUACAUUGAACGAAAUGUCAGUUUAUGAAAACGAAUAAAUUAGAUAGCGUGUAAAAUUUUGCAAGAUUUUUGACACACGCGUGAGAGGCAAAUUUAUCAUUUGUUUCCGUAUACGCUUUUUAUAACAUAGUUGAAGCGUGAAAAAAUAAAAUGUCAAUAAUCUUAUCUAGAUAUUGAAAAAUAUAUCAAGUGAAUUGAGCUCUUGACUCGAUGAUUCAAAAUAUUUUGCGAUGCCUCACUGCACGACCGAUUUUGCUUGGUACCUUGGAAAAUUCAUUAUCGGUUUUACGGGGAUACUAUUCCUUUAUGUCGGCUUCUUGAAAGAAAAGUGAGCGUCUUCAACAUAUGGGACCGAACUAAACCAAAACGACGAAUAAUGAUGUCAGAAAUAAUCCUGUUUUUGUCCGACAGUGAGAAAAGUUGUGUUUGCGGCGCCAGAAUGAGAGAAUUACUGAGGCAGGAAAGCGAAAAGUGAGUCACGCGCGUCUUCCUAAAGAGCUUUUAUUUCAACAGAAAGCUUUAUUUAUUAUGAAGCAUGUUUAGCGUAUGUCAUGCAAUCUAAAGAAGCAUGUAAUAUGUAUAAGCGCGCCGAAAGUCAUAUACUCGACAAAGAUAUCACGAGGCGAUGAACGCUUCAUAUGAUUAUUUAUAUCAUAAUUACGAUAUUACUAAAAUUAAUAAUAUGCAAUUAAUAAUUUCUAUGUAUUAGACGACCGGACAGAUGCGGAUGUGCAAAAGGGAUGCGAAAUAUACGUUAUUCAUGUGGAUGUAGCAAGCCAACGCGAUUAUCCCAAGAUGAGAGAGAUGAUUGUAUGGUACCUGUGAUUGCAAAUGAAUAUAAUAAAGACAAUUGUGCAAAAAAUCGUUGCUGUAUCAGAAGAAAUUCAAAUUAAGAAAAAAAAAACGGAAACGACAGCCUUUUGAUUAUUGUAAUAUCUAUCAUCUAAAAUAGGUAAUCAUUUGCCUCUAUUUUCUAGCGAGACACUUUUACGAUUUAUUCAAUCACCGCUAAUGCGUCAAAGAAUAAAUGCAGUAAAUUAUACGAAAAGAAAAUACAAAAUUGCGUACAAUUGAAAAUUCUAUUUGUACAUUUUCUAUUGCUAAUUAUAAAGGGAUGUCUACCUUUGAAAAACGUAAAAAAGGGUGUAUCCGAAACAAAUAUUUUAAAGC